GGCGGCUGGCGCCGAGUCCAGGGCGCGGAGCGGCUGGGCCCGCAGUCGCCGCGCUGUCCGAGCAGCGAGCGCCGAGCUCGCGCCAUGAGGGAGAUCGUGCACAUCCAAGCGGGCCAGUGCGGGAACCAGAUCGGCACCAAGUUUUGGGAAGUGAUCAGCGACGAACAUGGCAUCGACCCUGCUGGAGGCUACGUGGGUGACUCGACGCUCCAACUGGAGAGGAUCAACGUCUACUACAAUGAGUCAUCGUCUCAGAAGUAUGUGCCCAGGGCUGCCCUGGUGGACUUGGAGCCGGGCACCAUGGACAGCGUGCGGUCUGGGCCUUUCGGGCAACUCUUCCGGCCUGACAACUUCAUCUUCGGACAGACUGGUGCCGGGAACAACUGGGCCAAAGGCCACUACACGGAGGGCGCCGAGCUGGUGGACUCGGUCCUGGAUGUGGUGCGGAAGGAGUGCGAGCACUGCGACUGCCUGCAGGGCUUCCAGCUGACCCACUCGCUGGGCGGCGGCACCGGUUCUGGGAUGGGCACUCUCCUCAUCAGCAAGAUCCGCGAGGAGUACCCCGACCGCAUCAUGAACACCUUCAGCGUGAUGCCCUCGCCCAAGGUGUCGGACACGGUGGUGGAGCCCUACAACGCCACCCUCUCCGUGCACCAGCUGGUGGAGAACACGGACGAGACCUACUGCAUCGACAACGAGGCCCUGUACGACAUCUGCUUCCGCACCCUGAAACUGACCACGCCCACCUACGGGGACCUCAACCACCUGGUGUCGGCCACCAUGAGCGGGGUCACCACCUCCCUGCGCUUCCCCGGCCAGCUCAACGCUGACUUGCGCAAGCUGGCCGUGAACAUGGUGCCCUUCCCGCGCCUGCACUUCUUCAUGCCCGGCUUUGCCCCGCUCACCGCCCGUGGCAGCCAGCAGUACCGGGCGCUGACGGUGCCCGAGCUCACCCAGCAGAUGUUCGAUGCCAAGAAUAUGAUGGCGGCCUGUGACCCCCGCCACGGCCGCUACCUGACCGUGGCCGCCGUGUUCCGGGGCCCCAUGUCCAUGAAGGAGGUGGAUGAGCAGAUGCUGGCCAUCCAGAACAAGAACAGCAGCUACUUCGUGGAGUGGAUCCCCAACAACGUGAAGGUGGCCGUGUGCGACAUCCCGCCGCGCGGCCUGAAGAUGGCCGCCACCUUCAUCGGCAACAGCACGGCCAUCCAGGAGCUGUUCAAGCGCAUCUCGGAGCAGUUCUCAGCCAUGUUCCGGCGCAAGGCCUUCCUGCACUGGUUCACGGGUGAGGGCAUGGACGAGAUGGAGUUCACUGAGGCCGAAAGCAACAUGAACGACCUGGUGUCUGAGUACCAGCAGUACCAGGACGCCACAGCCGACGAGGGCGAGGAAGCUUUUGAGGACGACGAGGAGGAGGUCAACGAAUAGAGGCGCGUCCCUGCCUUGGACGCCGCGGCUCAGAGGUCCUUCCUCCAAUCCUGGAGCAGAGCAACCUGCAAUGCGAACACCUGCGGUUAAACAGUCACCCAGCAACGUCUCUCCAAUCUCAUCACCUCCUAUUUACAGUCAACCCCCUUCCAAAAAACGGUUUAGGACCACUGAAAAGAGAUAUUCACGGUCAUGUCACUUUAGAAUAAGAUGUGCAAAAAUCCUGGAAAAACACGUGUCCCCACGAAGGGCGCAGCUGCACAGUGUGGUGCAUCCACGUGGCCCGUGACUGUGCCCUGGACUUAGUGGGGGAGCUCUGUCCCUGAUGCCGCAGAAAGACAUCCUUGGGGAGGAGAGCCAGACGCAGUGUCCCUGGGCCCCACCUGCUUCCAAAGAGGGGAGGAGCUCCCUCUGGCUUACGGAGCAGAAAGAAAUACUGCAAGGAAGUGUGAGAGUGAUGCAAGUGACUGAGGGUGGGGGUGGGGGAAAGGGUGGAAACAGGGAAAUU